GUGCCGGGGCCCCGCCGCCUGACGGGCGGGCCGAGUGCCGCGGCCACGCCGCCGCAGAGCGCCUGUUUUAAGCGGUGUUUAAAGGAAAAUGAAAUGCAAUAAAGGCUCUUCUCCACGCGCGCCGUGGGUUGGGGGAUGCACCGAAAAGCGGAGCGGCCAGCUGGCCGGUAAUGAUUCGCUUCGUCGUGACUGGGAGAGGAAGGGGGCCUUGGGAGGAAGGAAGCGGGCACUGGUUGAGCUGAGGCUGGGAAAGGAUCAGAUCUGUCUUGGGGAGGUCUGAGACUCUGCUUAUCCUGCGUAGCCUCUCAGACGAUGUAGAAGGAGGUAUUUCAGCGGAGCUGUUGCUCCUGGCUCAGGAAGCUGUAUCACAAAGCAAUCUUCUCUGUCUUCGGGCUCAGGGAGAAUCCAGUGUUACGGGAUCGGGACGAAAUCAUACGCGAGAGAAACGCAAGGGGUUAUGUUUGUUUGGUUUUGAGGAAAAGUCUCGAGGAGCCCAGGGAAUGUCAGAGAGAGCAGGUGAGCAAGUCUUGCCCGGCAAGGCGCCGUGUGGGGUUGACACAGAUGGUUCAAUCCACGCUAACAGCGCCUGGGAGUUGCAGUUGGCGAUUUGAACUUUCCUGUCCCGUCAGUGCCAUUUUCCAAAGCUCUUAGGCCUUUAAAUCCCUUGAAAAGAUAAAUGGGCUUAAGCUUCUAUGGAGCCCUGAAAGUGCAGCUUACACUCAAUUAACACUGUCGCCGGGGUUGUUCCUGGUGGUCGGGUCACUCCCCUUUGUCUCUGCCCUUCACUGACACCACUUCACUGCAGCUUCCAACUCAGUUCCUUCUCCUCGCACUUGGGGAGAGCUGAGCUCACAUCCGUCCUGCGGGAAUAUGUGAGAAGCAAAAAAAGUCUGCUCAGGAGGUACUUAUACCUGAAUGACAUCUCAGGGAAAGUACUGCAGGGAGGGGAGACGCAUUAUUUGUGUGAUGCUUCGCAGUGAGGAGGGCUGUAAAAGCUCAUCGUGCUCAAAUUCUCUUCAGUCUGAGAGUCUGAGAUUUGAACGGCAGCCGGGAGAUUUCUGGUGGGACAACCUCUAUCUCGCAGCGAUUAUCAGGUCCCAGCGGUCAUCCCGGCUCUGCUUUGAACUGUUCUCCUCGCUAGCUGAGGUCAGCCUGGACUUUCAAGGCCAGGAAUAUUGGACUGAUAUUCUCUUAAAACAUCUACUAUGCGGAGGAGAGUGCACAGGGAAGGAUCAAAAGGGCACAAAUAUUCCUCCCUGACGGUGAGAGCAGAUGCUCUGUGAUGCAGCCGGUGUCCUGUCCCUACCAGGUUUGCACCCCAUGGUUGACUGAGCGAGUGUUGGUUAUGGGAGGCGGGGGUGGCUGCAUCCUAUAAACCAAACCCUGAUGGACACUGCUUCCCAAUCCCCUCACUGACGUGCCUGCAGGCAAUGUUUUUAUUCUCACUUUCUGCAUGUGUAAAAGAGGGUGGGUCCUCUGCUUCCUGGGCCUCCGAGGACUGGCUGGCUCCUAAAGGCAAUCCCGUCCCUGCUUUUAUCAGGAAAAGAGCGCAGCCGAAAUGCGGGAUUUUGUAACCAGUAAACCUCACGUGCCGAAACCUCCUGCCAGAGGCACAGCCCUGAGCUUCUCCAAUGUCAUCCCGUAAGGCUCGAUGCAAAAUUUUUAAGCAACACAAAAAAAAAUCUUACGUUUGAGCAUUUAAUAAAAGGUCGAUAGAGCUGCGAUGCCAUCGGUGCCUUCGUUUCUGACUCCGUGGUAAGGCACGGAGCGCAGCAGGAGCCGGGAGCACGCUGUCAGGAGGCAGCAGCGUAGCUUUGGAAGUGUUUUUCUGUCUCUCAGCAAUUUUCUUCCAGAGCCCACAACAUCUGUCUCUGUCCCCAGCCGCAUGCAAGUGCCCCGAAAGUUUGUUCCAGGCCUAAUGAGUAAUUUCAUGGUCUUGGAGUCGGAGGCGAGGGGAGGGGGCUGGGACGGCAGCUGGAGUCGUGUGCUUUGCAGGGAGCUCCGCAGAUGUCAAAUCGCCGACGGAUGGCUUUUAUUUUAUCGCGGCCCACCAGGCUUCCCUUUAAAGUCUGCUGCUGGAGUUUCUGGCGAUCAGUGCAGAAACAGCUCCGACACGGGCUGCUGCGUUCCAGGGGCUUCCUCGCUUCUGGGCACGAGCAGCGUAGAAAAUAAUGUCAUCAGCGGGGAGGAGGUGGGGGAGCUCAGCUGGGCGUCAGCUCCGCUCCGCUCACGGAGAGAGCACGCUCGAGUGCAGGGCACUUUGCCUGCCCUGCUCCUGUUUUCAGCGCGAUGGGCUGGCAGAAGGAGGGAUGAGAGAACAAACAACCCCGGGCAGAUGUGAAACCAUAUUGCUCGAGCGGCUGGAGGGUGCGCGCGGUGUGUGAGCACAUACAGAACGAGCUGGCGCCAAUUGUAGCUGGUCUCAGCGGGCCUUUAAAGAGCACAAAGCCCAGCUUUCUCCCUGAGAAGGGACAGAGUUAUCUGCAGAGAGCGAUAAUCUGCGCACAGCACAGGAAGCAGAAGGCAGAUGUUGUCAUAUGUUUAUCGCGUGUUUCCACCCCAGGGUCUUCCGCUGGGACAGGCCUGCAGAUCUCGGGCCCUGGAGCAGGAUUCGCGCAGCUCCACGGACUCCCCGCGCUGUUUAUCCAGCGCAUAAGGACACGCGCGGCUCUUCCUCCACCUGCCCAGGUUCUCCUCGCCUGGAGAGGAAGUUUACAUUCGCUCCCUGUGACUCAGAAAUAGAGCCUGAUUCAUUUUCGUGGUAUUACUCGCAGAAAGGGAAAGCCAAAUGGCAACCAGUCUGUGCCUGUAGACACCUGUACCGCUCCGCUUUCUGCUGUUUAUCUCUGGAUGAGUUUCUGUUUAUCGGCACUAGCGCACUUCCCCUGUCGAAGCUUCUCUUUGCAGAGAAGGACUGAUCGGAAAGCGAAGUUUUCUACCCCUACAGCUGAGAGGAAGAGUGCUGGUUCUCCGUGGCCGCUUGCAGAGUUCCUGAUACGGGGCUAGUUCAAGCUGACACUUCACGGGGUAGCAGUGGGCUGUCACCAGAAGGAGCAAGCACCAGACGGAUCCAGCAACGGCUGCAGAGGUCCUGCAGCUCCUGAGCUGACCGCUGUGCCUGCGGGGAGCUGCAGCUGGUCUGCCUCUUACAGUGCUCAGCACUAGCAGGUCCCACUUCCAGUGACAGCGGCUGUUGAGGAGCAGCUAUUUGGGAAAUUCUCUCGCCAGCAACCUGGGCUUCUGCCCCAUGCCUCGGCUCCCUGCUGUGAUACAAGGACAGCAGCUGCUUGGGGUCCUUGUAGGCUGCUAGUCCUCAGAGGAAGGGGUGGUGUUUUACUUUCUGCUCCCUGCUCCGUUUGUGGCAUGAUGGGUGGCUUACUUGGUGCUAGAGAGACUGCGUGAGCAUUAGUCAGAUUUUAAAAUCUCGGAUUUUUAAACUCUCACCCAAGAUGUGCACAGAGAGGCUUUGGUUGUGAGGUGGGAACCUGUGACCGGCACUACAGCUGGGCCCAAACCCGUCUUUCCCGUAUCAUUCCUUCCAAAACCCAGAGUGCAGCCCUUCCUGCGCUGCACAAGAGAACACAGAGCAGAACUCCAGGUGGGUGGGCUGUGAGGAGGGCAAGGAAGGCUCUCAGGCCUGGAGCAGCAGUCGUGUUAGAGGUAAGGCGGUUUCCUCUGGGCUGCGGGAAGCUGAGGUUCGAGUCACCGCUCUGAGCAAGGCAGAAGAAGGUUUUGGCCCCAAACCUGGCUCUCCCUUAGCAGCAGCCUGCUGCUGGGGGAAAGGCCACGCUAGGGUUCUGCUCUCUCAUCGUGUGCCUUGACCUCCCGGAAGAGCUUUGUUCAGAAGUGUUCCACGGGCUCUCAGAUUAGAAGCUGGCGUUUCGGUUAUUUUCUGGUGGAAAAAAAUAUUUAAUUGGAAAAAUUCCUGUGUGGCUCUGGUAUGCUUUCAGCUGGCAGCCUGCCUGCCCCUCUGAAAAUAUUUCGGAUUUUGAGCGCGAACACUUUGUGUGAGGCUGGUUUCUUUGCUUGCAACCCUAGCUGAGGUAUCCCUUUUCCCUGAGCGGACGGCAGGAGCUGGCUUCUUGUUACGCGGCAGUGGAGUGACCUUCUGGGGCUGCCCUUCACGGGAGAGGACGGCUGAGACAGGCCAGAGAUCCUGUAGCAUUUGGAGCGGUAGCCACUGCCCUGCUGCUCCUAGCAGUCUGCUGUAAUAAUUGCCACCGCCCCCAGCUCUGGCAGACGUGUUUGCAAAAAGCUCUGCGGGCAGUGGAAGCAGGCUGGUUUCAUCAUGACAAUGUAGUUACCCUUUUAAGGGAAAAUUCCCUCCGGGAGCCAGCCCUCAAUUACCUCCUGCUCGAGCGCCUUCUUGCUGGAGAUGUCUUGUAACCCGGCUGAGUUACAGCCACAGCGCUCUGCAGUCGAGCACCUCGCCGCUCCGGAAAAAAGAUAUAAUUAAACUCUGCUGGCUUCUGUUGUUUGCUAGUGAUUGCUGAAUUUGGAAACUGCAGACAAAACCCGAAGGGCUGGAUCCCCUCAUCGGUGCAGAAAGGAUCUGUGGACGUUGCAUCUCCAGACCUGGAUGCUGUUCCUGCAGCAUUAAUGGGGCAGAAGCGGUAUUCGUCCCUAAACAAGUUUGUUGCAAGAUUGGGAGCCCUGGGUAGUACGAGUUUAGCAGACACACGAGUGUCUACCAAACGCCAGGAAACUGGGGUAGGCAGAGGCUGCAUUUCAAUUCGCUGUUAUUCACCCUGCUGAAUGGGAGGGGUCCUCCGGGGGUCCUGAUUUGGAGGCCUAAAAAAUUCCUUCCAUUCCGCUGCCGUGCCCCGCAGCCCAUGGGGCGGUGGCUGCCCGCGGCGGGGCGGCCGCGGAGGUUGCCCUCUGCCUCUGACCGCAAAGGGCUGAGCGGGAACGCGCGGCGCUCUGGAGAACAGCCCGUGCGCUCCCUGUUCUACAGGGAUUGUGGCUUUGGCUGCGAGCCCCCCCCCAUUUACAUCCCUCGUGUUCAGCACUGAAAGUGGUUUAAUUCCAAACGAGCUGUUUACCAGAAGAACACGACGCUCUUGAACGCAAACGUGUCAGAGGGAUGAGACCAGGCUCCUAAAGAAGUUCUGGGGACUGCUUCUUUUGACGUCUGUCAAUUUACUGUGUUUGUCCUAGAAAAUGGCACUUUCUCUCCGGGCAAUAGCAGACCCGUUAAAAACAUCAGCCCCGUACCUGUGCAGCUGCUGCUGCCUUGAGCCAAAACAAAUGGACCGCAGCCCACGGCGUGACUGCACCAUCUGAGAAUGAAACGCAGGUCCUUGGAGGGAAGAGUCACAGAGGAGACAGGAUUGAUCCCAGUGCCCUAUUUGGAGGACCGAAAUGCACAGGAAUCCUGUUCUGCCUGUCUAGAUCCAGACUGAGAGAGCUUCGCCAUCUUCUGAGCUUUACCAAGGGUUUAAAUUCUCUUCCCCCAUUAAGAUCAAGGCAGAAAAGAAAACUUUUGGAAAACUUACGUAAGUAGACAGGAAGUAAUUACAUGAGCUCCAUCAAAACAUGCAAUAUCUGUUUCAGCCUUUUAAAAACUCUUCGAGAAAAUUAUCUAAAAAUUAGCUGAGGUGCUGAAAUCGUGUUUUCAUGCUGCAGAGCAAAAUUGUCCACUUUCGAAUCGUCAACUUUUCAAAGCCUUUUUGUACAUUUUUUAAACUGGGACACUCUUCUGAAUACCCAAUCCUCUGUUAACAGUUUUGGGUUGCUGCUUUAACCUGAAAAGGUUUUGCCAGAAAAUUUCUUGCCUGCGAUUCCCUGAUUGCACAGUUGGAGGUAGGUGGUUUUGAACCCGCAUGGCCAGAAAGGCAGAAGCGUGGCGAAGCUGAGAGCACUGUCAUUCAAAUACACGACUAUUGUUUGCGCUGACAGCCCUGCAGAAGUUCAUUAGCUCUUGGCAGUUGCAAACAAGCGGAAUUCAUUUGCCUGGCUCAGGAAAUUCAACCCGUGCUGUUGAAAAUUCAGCAUUUUCAGGAGAAAGCUGAUGGAAGGCCUGGUGGCUUGGACGGGAAGGCUGAUCACACGCGUGGGACCGGCGCUGGAGGACGCAGGUUUGGAUCAGGACCUGCUGCGGUCUCCCUUGUGACAUCUGGCCACGUUCUUUCUUUGAGCUCCAUUUCCCCUUCACCGUUGUUCCUUGCAAAUACACGCAGUCCGUUAGGCACUGGGCAGCGCUGUGCUGUCAUGGUGAUGUGGUCUAAACAAACGCAGAGCAUUUUGCCAGCAUUUCAAAACUGAAAUUCUUGUUGCGAAUGAAAUAGCAGAGGAACUCGGAGUUUUGUUUGCUCGGUUCUUCACCCCGAGACUCUGAGUCAUGCUGACUUGCGUGUCCGCUGGACUUCUGGAGAUCUUCUAGUAUUUUGUCAACUGCAGUGACAGAUACCUCAGUGUGCAGUGACAAUUCACAUAUAAAGCCGAUUAGCAUUAAGAAGCAUUUCUUUCUCUGCAAGUGGAUGUGAUACGCCGCAGACAACCAUCUCUCCCGUAAUAGCUUCUUACAAAUGGGGUUUGUAAUAUUCCACUGAGGUUUUCUUUUUUAUCGAUAGCUGUGAGCACCGGUGCUUUAUAAUAAAUAUGCACUAAGGAAGGAUUGCUUCAGUGCCCUCAGGCACAGUUUUACCAACUCUGAACUGGGCAGCCCAGUAGGUCAGGGAGAGGGGACCAGCGCUGAGCAGCAGCAGGUGCGAGGGUCAGCCCCCCUUGCUCUCCGAGGGGACAUUUGUCGGGCUGAUUUGUCGCUGAUACUGCAAAGAGGCGAGGAGUGGAUGGAAAACACAUCGCUUAAAGUUCCUCACACUGCCCCAGACGGCAGGGUUGCUGCUGAGAAAGAAAUCGUUAAUGCUUUGUAACAUCACAUCGGCUGUUUUCGCAGGAAUAUUGUGGGUUGCAGAGCCAUGAGGUAAGGCACUAGAAGAACACAGUGACUAAGUUUCCUGGAACAAAUUAAGCACUGGCUUUCCGAAGUAUGUGGACUUGCAUAGCAUAACAAAACAGGGAUCUCUCUUCUCUAAACACAGUGGAUAUGUUCUGUGCUGGCAGAUUGUCUAACUCUUAAACUGGAAGGGGAAAUCUUGGAGAGCUUUGCUGUUGAUGAUUCAUGUUUAAGAUAAAACACAUUUUUUAAUAGCAAGAAUAAUAAGUCACCGCUGUAGAGUAGCCAAUGCUGUAGUAAAUCCUUUGGCACCCUGGGACUGGAAGAGCUCUUUCUGCUCUUUCUCAGUUGCAAAUUAUUGAGCUCUGCAGGAUCACUGGAUGAAACCUAGGACCCUCAUUCUCUAUUUCACAUUAUGAAAUAACACAGUCUCUUCUAAUUAGUAAACUAUGACCGUGCAUUGAAUUAAACGCAGUCACGCAAAUGUUUCACAUGCCAAUACUAUGUAUGUUUUCAUUUUCGUGGGCUUUUUAAUCAUGUUUCACGGGCUUUACUUAGUGCUAGACACUGCCCUUCCUUACCAACAUCAAGUUAAGGCCAAAAUGUGAUGUGUUGUCUGCUUUCUCAGAAGAGGAGAAAUUGCCUUUUUCUGUAGUAUAUCUGUAGAAAUCAAGCUAGUCUUCUGGAAAUUCCCUUGGGGAACUGCCCCCUUCCCGGCAGUGGCUUUCAGAGUUUACCAAGCACAUUUACCCAGAUGAAGCUGAGCUUGUGCAACAGGAUGGCAUGCACACUUGCAUUCUUUUCCCUGCUUCCUUGUAGCUUCUGAACCCACUGGUCAGUUUCCACCCAGUUUCACAGGAGGGAAGCACCAGUUCCUGUCUUCCUGUAGCUCACUGGCAUCCGUGCAGGGGAGCGAACCUCUGCUGCUGCUCACCACCGCAGGGAUGACCGCCGGGUCCUCCUAAGGAGCGUAACCUCCAGGUGAAGACCCCAGACCCCACCACGCCGUGCUGGGCAGGGGACGUGCAGGCUUCGCUGCCAACUGCCGUGCCCCUCCGGGCAGCUCAGGGACGGCGUCAGGUCGCUCCAGCAAGGGCUGAGCAGCGCCGCAUUAGAGGACAUCUCAUCUCCCACCCGCUGUAAGGCUGCUUGGUGCUGAGAAUCACGACACUGGGGGGGAGACAAGUCCUUACUGGCUUGGUGCUGCAGCUGCUUCUGUGCCCCAGUGGCUUCCUCCAGGACAGUGAAACAUCAGUGCGUUCGCUGAGGGGCUGAUCCAAAACCCACUGAAGCCACCAGACCAUCUUCCACUGACUUCGGCUGCGAGAAGAGAGCGGUAGGAAACCUGCAUGCUGCGGGCUCUGCCCGCUUCCCUGUUCCUGCAGCUCUGCAGAACAGAAGCGAUACAGGAAUCCAGGGCCCUGACUUCAGCUGCACUGACACUGCUUCAGCUGCGUGUGGACGGGAUGCAGCACGAGGGCGGCGGCAGAAGAUGGCACAGGCAUCGCAUCACCGCCCGAGCCCCACAGGAAGCCCGUGGCAGAGCUGAGCUGAGAUGUGAGCUCCUGCGAGCAAGGGCCGCUAACCUCCCGUCCAGCAAGCACUGAACAAUCCCAUUUAAAAAUGUUUCUUCCUAAGAGCGAAAAAACGCAGAUCGAGAUCCGGAAAUAAAAGCCACCGGAGCAUGCUGCACCACAGGCUCUCCUUUGACAUUGGGCAAGUCACUUCUCAUCUCAGAAACUUAGUUCCCCAAUUGUGAGAUAGAGACAGCAAUGCUGCCCUGACUCACGUUACUGGAAGAUAAAUGCAGUAAUAAACACGAACUGCCACAAUUCUGUGGUAACGGGACCCCUCCUGAGUACAGAAAAUUGCCAUUUCCUUCAGUUUCCCUGUAGUAAGUCUGCACAAUCACAUGCUAUCCUAUUGUGCUAUCAGGUAAUUUUGUAGCAAUUUCCUCUCCUAAGAUAUUUGACUUCACUGUAAGUCUGUUUAAUAGCCUAUAGAUAUUAACAUGAUCCCUUAUUUACAAUAAUGGGGCCUUGUAGCUACUGUAGCUUACAGAUGCAAUUUAUUACAGGAUGUUACCACAGUCCGCAGGCUACCAGAAAACAUUAUGUCUGGUUGUUACAAAUGCCAUUUUCCUUGUUGAGAUAAUAAAAUAACCCUUUAAAUGAUCGGGAUUUUUCCUUCUUCUGAAUGUCUGUGAAAAUUAAUCUUACUUUAAAAGCUUCCUUUUCCCUUGUGGUAAUAAGAACCUCCAUAUAUCUUGUUUUUAAAGUCGUGCCCUCGAAAAAAACACGUCAUGUUUAUGGACUCAAAUCUAUUUGUUCCUGUAGCUUCAGCUGGAGUCAACAGGUGUCUGGGGGACUUGGAUGCAAUCUGCAGAGAGACGACAGUUCGCGGGACCAAGCUGUAUCGCCCUGUGUGAGAGCUGCAGGUCUCGAAACCCCCACCACUUUGCCUGUCUUCCAAGCUGCUCAUCACCUGACACUGACUUCUCAUUUUGGUAUUCUUGCACUCUUCAUGACAUUUCAAAACUAAGAACAAACGCCUCCAGAAAGCCUCGGGAUUUGGAAAGAGCAGGAGGGUUCAGCGUACAGGAGGAGAUCACACGGAACAAAGCCUGGGACCUGGCAUCUUCCAGAGGAAACUUCUGCAAGGAAGAGGGAAGCUCAGCCAGCUCCGCCCUGACAGCCAAACCUUUGGGACAGGGUUGGGGAGUGGACAGCACGGACCUUGGCCACUCCUGAGGAUGCUGCUGGGAUGGCGGAGGAGCUGGAGUCCACGAGAGGAAGGCGAGGAAGAUGUCGGUCGUGUGAGAAGGUGGAGGCCGGUCCAAAAAUGCCCUCUGAUGACAGCACGGGGGCGGGAUCCCACCCGGCGUCUUAUUCAUCGACAAGAAGCGGCGUGGUGCUGCUGGGACAAGCGGGACGGAGCCGCACGUGGCACCGAGGAGCUUGUGCUGCCCCUCUCAGUAAGCCCACCUGAAAGGCGGCGGGUGCAGGCUGCAGGGUGUUGCUGCUGGUGUCCUGGUGACGGCUACGUCCCUGAACGGCACAGACCCCGCUGGUGAACCGCAGCCACCGCUUCUGUUGUGAAUUUAUAUGAAAUAGGGGAUGUGGCAUCCCAGCCCUUGGUUUUGGGGGGCUUCGCCUCAGACUCACCGAAACCAAUUAAGGCUGUGGAGAAAGCACAUUUUGGGUAGAGAAUCCGAAGGACCCUCUGAGCAGAGCUGGAAACACCAAACACGGUGAUGCCGAGCAGCCCAGGAACCACAGCCCCCAGCCCCACGGCACAGGACAGGAGGCAAAAUCCAGGCGAUGAAGGUGAGCGUCUCGCUGCUGUCUCCUGUGGGGAAGCCCGUGUUUACCGCCAGUUGCCGAUGCAAAUUUCUACGGGGCUAAUCCAGACACGCUCAGGGCUCUGCUUUGCCUUACACCGCUGUAAUUGAGCAAUUUCAAAGCCCGUCGAGGGUUUCUUUUCCCACUUGGGACUGCUUUUUGUUGCUGCUGAAUUUUGUUUCCUACGGGAUUUGCCCUCCCUAUGCUCUCAGUGUGUCCUUGCAAGCGGCGCCUGGCUGAAAACAGACAUUUCCGCCCAAUUUGCCAGCCUCGUUGGGAAAGAAAAUGAACGUUUUGAAGGUGUCGUUUUGCCGCGGUGAGAGGAAAACUUUGAGAUCAGCCCUAAACUGUCUCCAAGGAUUAGGACCCCAGUGCAGCUUGAAACCUGGCUGCAGCUUGAACCAGGUGACACCGGGACAAGCCCACGGGGCCGGCCAGAUGGGGCAGUGGUCAGUGGCCAGUGAUCGAUGGCUGAUGGGCCAUGGUCGAUAGUCAGUGGUCCACAGUUGAUGGUCCAUGGUUGAUAAUCAGUGGUCCAUGGUCAAUGAUCAAUGGCCAAUGGUUGACAGCCGAUGGUUGAUGGUCGAUGAUCAACGGUUGAUGGUCAAUGGUUGAUGGCCGAUGGUUGAUGGUCAAUGUCUGACGUUUGGUGAUGGACGGGUGAAGGUGGACGGGUGAAGGUGGAUGGGUGAAGGUGGACGGGUGAAGGUGGA